GUCUACGGCCAUACCACCCUGAACACGCCCGAUCUCGUCUGAUCUCGGAAGCUAAGCAGAGUCGGGCCUGGUUAGUACUUGGAUGGGAGAUCCUUGAUCAUAUGUCACUUUCUCAAUGAAGUCCUCUGAGCUCAGACC
rnacentral:rRNA from 1 species